UACGUAGGCAGCGAGCGUUGUUCGGAGUUACUGGGCGUAAAGAGUGCGUAGGCGGUUUUCUAAGUUUGGUGUGAAAUCUCCCGGCUUAACUGGGAGGGUGCGCCGAAAACUGGAAGGCUUGAGUAUGGGAGAGGUAAGCGGAAUUCCUGGUGUAGCGGUGAAAUGCGUAGAUAUCAGGAGGAACACCAGUGGCGAAGGCGACACGCUGGGCCGUACCUGACACUGAUGCGCGACAGCAUGGGGAGCAAACAGG
rnacentral:rRNA from 1 species